rnacentral:piRNA from 1 species
CUGAAUUUCAAAAUAAUACAGAAUGGUUA